CUACGGGCCGCACCAGUCGAGAAACUUUUGCAAUGCACGAAAGUGUGACAGAGUAAGCCAGAGUGCUUUUCCGUAUUGGAAAAGCUUUUAUGAGAUGUAAAAAGUCUCAUGAAUAAGGAGUGGGCAAGACUAGUGCCAGCCGCCGCGGUAAUACUAGCGGUCCGAGUCGCAAUCAACUUUAUUGGGUCUAAAACAUCCGUAGCUUGUUAUGUAAGUCUCUUGUGAAAUCCUGCCUCUUAAGGGUAAAAGUGCAAGAGAUACUGCAUGGCUAGAGACCGGGAGAGGCAAGAAGUACGGUCAGGGUACCGGUAAAAUGGGUUGAUCCUUUCUGGACUAACAAUAGCGAAGGCAUCUUGCUAGAACGGAUCUGACAGUGAGGGAUGAAGGCUAGGGGCGCAAAACGGAUUAGAUACCCGCGUAGUC
rnacentral:rRNA from 1 species